rnacentral:tRNA from 1 species
CAAAGAAUAGUCUAUAUAAGAUUUCAGCCCUGGGAGCUGAAGAUGAAAGUUUAAUCUUUUUUCUUUGA